rnacentral:autocatalytically_spliced_intron from 1 species
GGGAGCCGGAUGCGGUAGUUCCGCACGUCCGGUUCUGAGGAGGGGGCUGUCUGGGUGACUGGACAGCUCUACUCACCCGAAACCCCAAUUACCGGCCAACUGUUAU